rnacentral:rRNA from 1 species
GCAGUCGAACGGAGAUUACAGGCGGAAGUUUUCGGAUGGAAGCCUGUAAACUUAGUGGCGGACGGGUGAGUAACACGUGAGCAACCUGCCUAUCAGAGGGGGAUAACGAUUGGAAACGAUCGCUAAUACCGCAUGACAUAGCGGAACCGCAUGGUUCUGUUAUCAAAGAUUUAUCGCUGAUAGAUGGGCUCGCGUCCGAUUAGAUAGUUGGUGGGGUAACGGCCUACCAAGUCGACGAUCGGUAGCCGGACUGAGAGGUCGAACGGCCACAUUGGGACUGAGACACGGCCCAGACUCCUACGGGAGGCAGCAGUGGGGGAUAUUGCACAAUGGGGGAAACCCUGAUGCAGCGACGCCGCGUGAGGGAAGACGGUCCUCUGGAUUGUAAACCUCUGUCUUCGGGGACGAAACGAGACGGUACCCGAGGAGGAAGCCACGGCUAACUACGUGCCAGCAGCCGCGGUAAUACGUAGGUGGCAAGCGUUGUCCGGAAUUACUGGGUGUAAAGGGAGCGUAGGCGGGCAGGCAAGUCAGGCGUGAAAUAUAUCGGCUCAACCGGUAACGGCGCUUGAAACUGCAGGUCUUGAGUGAAGUAGAGGUUGGCGGAAUUCCUAGUGUAGCGGUGAAAUGCGUAGAUAUUAGGAGGAACACCAGUGGCGAAGGCGGCCAACUGGGCUUUUACUGACGCUGAGGCUCGAAAGUGUGGGGAGCAAACAGGAUUAGAUACCCUGGUAGUCCACACCGUAAACGAUGAUUACUAGGUGUGGGGGGACUGACCCCUUCCGUGCCGGAGUUAACACAAUAAGUAAUCCACCUGGGGAGU